rnacentral:rRNA from 1 species
UACGGGGGGGGCAAGCGUUGUUCGGAAUUACUGGGCGUAAAGAGCUCGUAGGCGGUUUGUCGCGUCUGCCGUGAAAGUCCGGGGCUCAACUCCGGAUCUGCGGUGGGUACGGGCAGACUAGAGUGAUGUAGGGGAGACUGGAAUUCCUGGUGUAGCGGUGAAAUGCGCAGAUAUCAGGAGGAACACCGAUGGCGAAGGCAGGUCUCUGGGCAUUAACUGACGCUGAGGCGCGAAAGCCAGGGGAGCGAACGGG